GGCCUCCCAGUGCUUACCAAAGACUCUGUUCUUUACACUGACUGUAUAGAAAGAGGAUGUAAAGUAAAUGCACCCAUCUACAUCUCAAUCCAGGUCCCUUGCCUGGUCUGUAUUGUGAAUGGUGAAACAAAA